GAUGAACGCUGGCGGCGUGCCUAAUACAUGCAAGUCGAGCGAACAGACGAGGAGCUUGCUCCUCUGACGUUAGCGGCGGACGGGUGAGUAACACGUGGAUAACCUACCUAUAAGACUGGGAUAACUUCGGGAAACCGGAGCUAAUACCGGAUAAUAUAUUGAACCGCAUGGUUCAAUAGUGAAAGACGGUUUUGCUGUCACUUAUAGAUGGAUCCGCGCCGCAUUAGCUAGUUGGUAAGGUAACGGCUUACCAAGGCAACGAUGAGUAGCCGACCUGAGAGGGUGAUCGGCCACACUGGAACUGAGACACGGUCCAGACUCCUACGGGAGGCAGCAGUAGGGAUUCUUCCGCAAUGGGCGAAAGCCUGACGGAGCAACGCCGCGUGAGUGAUGAAGGUCUUCGGAUCGUAAAACUCUGUUAUUAGGGAAGAACAAAUGUGUAAGUAACUAUGCACGUCUUGACGGUACCUAAUCAGAAAGCCACGGCUAACUACGUG
rnacentral:rRNA from 1 species